GACGAACGCUGGCGGCGUGCUUAACACAUGCAAGUCGAGCGGAAAGGCCCUUUCGGGGGUACUCGAGCGGCGAACGGGUGAGUAACACGUGAGUAAUCUGCCCCUGGCUUUGGGAUAGCCACCGUCAACGGUGAUUAAUACCGGAUACGACCACUUCUCGCAUGGGAUGGUGGUGGUAAGUUUUGCGGCCCGGGAUGUGCUCGCGGGCUAUCAGCGUGAUGGUGAGUUAAUGGCUGACCAUGGCUGCGACGUGUAGCCGGCCUGAGAGGGUGAACGGGCAAACUGGGACUGAGACACGGCCCAGACUCCUACGGGAGGCAGCAGUGGGGAAUAUUGGACAAUGGGCGGAAGCCUGAUCCAGCAACGCCGCGUGAGGGAUGACGGCCUUCGGGUUGUAAACCUCUUUCAGCAGUGACGAAGCGCAAGUGACGGUACCUGCAGAAGAAGCACCGGCCAACUACGUGCCAGCCGCCGCGGUAA
rnacentral:rRNA from 1 species